rnacentral:rRNA from 1 species
GACGAACGCUGGCGGCGUGCUUAACACAUGCAAGUCGAACGGAAAGGCCUGCUUUCCCUUGUGGAUUUCGGUUACUCGCGUGGCGAACGGGUGAGUAACACGUGAGUGAUCUGCCCCCAACUUGGGUAUAAGCCUGGGAAACUGGGUCUAAUUCCCGAUAGUACUGCAGGGUGGUGCCUGUGGUGGAAAACGAUUCUCUAGUGGUUGGGGAUGAGCUCUCGUCCUAUCAGCUUGUUGUUGGGGUAAUGGCCUACAAAGGCGGCUACGGGUAGCCGGCCUGGGAGGGCGGACGGGCAAAUGGGACCCGGGACAAGGCCCAGAGUCCUACGGCAGGAAGCAGUGGGGGAUAAUGGACAAUAGGCGGAAGCAUGAAGCAGCGACGCGGCGAGGGGGAUGACGGAUUUUGGGGUGUAGACUUCUGUGGAGCGCGAGGAAGCCAGCUGGUUGGACGGGUGGUGACGGUAGUGGAAGAAGAAGCAACGGCUAACUACGUG